rnacentral:rRNA from 1 species
CUGGUUGAUCCUGCCAGUAGUCAUAUGCUCGUCUCAAAGAUUAAGCCAUGCAUGUCUAAGUAUAAGCUUUGUACGGUGAAACUGCGAAUGGCUCAUUAAAACAGUUAUCGUUUCCUUGGCAAUCAUCUACUAUUGGAUAACUACGGUAAUUCUAGAGCUAAUACAUAUGCACAGACCCAACUUCGCGGGCGGGUUGCGCUUAUUAGAUACCGAACCAGCCUGGGCUUGCCCAGUUUUGAGUUGACUCAUAAUAUCGAGUGGAUCGCAUGACGAUGUCGGCGACUUGCCAUCCAAGUUUCUGACCUAUCAGCUUCCGACGGUAGGGGUAUUGGCCUACCGUUGCUUUGACGGGUAACGGAGAAUUAGGGUUUGAUUCCGGAGAGGGAGCCUGAGAAACAGCUACCACAUCUAAGGAAGGCAGCAGGCGCGCAAAAUUACCCAAUCCUGACAUAGGGAGGUAGUGAACAGAAAUACCAAUACGAGGCUUCAUGUCUAGUAAUUGGAAUGAGUUAAGAUGUACAACGCUUUACGAGGAUCAAUUGGAGGGCAAGUCUU